rnacentral:tRNA from 1 species
GCCUGGGUGGCUCAGUCGGUUGAGCGUCCGACUUCAGCUCAGGUCACGAUCUCACGGUUCGUGAGUUUGAGCCUCGUGUCAGGCU